CACGCGAAACACUACAGCGCUUGCUCCACCCCCGCGCGCCGCCGGCCAGCCCCAGAGUUCCCAGCGCGCGGUCAUUGACCUAACAGUUGCGGCAUCUCCUUGUCCUCGAGUACCCGGGCGUGAGGGAGAGAAAGCGCUGGACGGGCGGCGGGACUCGGCCUCGGUGAGGAGGAAGAGGGCCGGCCUGGGGCGUGAAGGGUACUACUAUGUUUGGGCGCCUUACAGUGUCGCUCUGGGCUUCGGAGCCUCGCCCUCCGCCAGAGGCUCCUCGGCUGUAGAGCGAGGAAUGUGGUCCAAGUGGGUGAUGUGCUGCUUCCCCGGCCUCCCAUGGGCGAUGCCGUCACCACCCAGCCCCGAGCCUGGAGCCCGGCGGGCUCUGGCCUUCGGCGUGGUGCCGGGCUUGUCGCUCCAGAGCUGAGUUAACAGCCAUCUCCUCCGUGAGAAGGGGGACACGGUCCUAUCCAACCGGUGCAGAUAUAAGGAGAAGUCAGCAGUCUACAAAUCAGAAAACUUUCCUUACCAGAACUCAACCAUACUGGCGCCCUGCUCUUGAACUUCCAGUCUCCAGAACUUUUAUGAAACACUGCUGUAUACAUCAUUCUACUGAAUGAAGACCUGAAUGCCUCAGACACUUGUAGCACCAAGCUUCAUGAUCUUUAAGGUCUUGGAUCAACUGGUAUUGUGAAAAGAAAAUAAGCACCUGCGACUCCCUCUCCCCAGUCCUCCGAUGCUCCAGCCCUCAGGCCCCCACGGAACCAGUGCAGACUUCUGUUUGAGGCAGCGCAGAGCGCUAGGUGGAAGAGCACAGGCGUAGAAUUGUUUAUUACCAGCUUUUACACAGUGACGAGCUGUGUAAGUUACCCUGCCCACGUACACUACGGGUCCCUCUGAGCACCAGCACGGGGUAUUUUAGGAGGAUGAAAACAUCUACCCACAGGAGAAGUAAGAGAGUUAGUAGCUGGUGACCUCCCUCUCGCCGUGGUAGUGAAGACGCCGCUGUCUGCUCCACAGGGCGGGUCACGCCCGGACCUCGCUUCACACAGCUUGAGACCAAAGAGUUGCUGUGAGGGAACAUGGAACUGAGGUUGCCUGCAGUUGCAUAGAGGGACCAAACAUAUGGCUGGAUGCUGAGAAACAGUUAGAAUGCUCCUGUGAAGAAAAGUGGCUGGCGAAUAGUGGGUCAUUAAUUACCAGGGAGUCAUAAAUGUGUCUACUUGGAAUCACAUACGGGAAGUUCCAGAACAUUCACGCAGCUUUUCAGGUCUUCACCCCCACCGUCAGUUUACACCAGCUGCUUCUCAUCACCUAGCCCUGGGGUCCUUCCCAUGAAGCUCGGUCCAACAGAGAAGCCAGCACCCAAAGGAAGUCCAUGCACACACUGAGCAGUGGACAAAAGCCGAGACUUGAAGAGAGUGGUAUUUUCUCCAGAGACACCGGAUAGGAAUAUAACUUGAAUGUCCCACAUGCGGUCCACUCACCCACGCUGGCUUUGAACCACACUCAUUCCACGCUGAGCUCUUGUUUCCUAAAGCGCACUCUGUGGUCUUCCAGUGCAGACAUAUGGCAUGCACUCUGGCUGUUCUACAGAGCCUUCUGGUCCAGGGCUGACUGAAUAUGUCUGUAGGCUAGAGGUCUGACAUGGGCUCCACUGGGCUAAAAUCAAAGUGUCGGCAGGGACGCGUUCCUCUCUGGAGGCUCUAGGGGAGAAUCUGUUCUCUCGCCUUUUCUAGCUUCCAGAGGCCGCCCACAUUCUUUGGCUUGUGGCUCCUUCCCGAACCUGCAGUAACUUUCUUCCUGUAUAUGCUGGAGUAUCCAAGUACAAACAUAUCAAUCUGGGGACGAGAUGAAAGAGAGGUCACAGAUACACAUCUCCAAAUUCCCACCUCUCACCAGCGGAGGGCGAGUAUUCUUCUGCAGCUCAUGAGAUGAUGAUGUACUUGCUGACCCACACAUGAACCAGGGAGGGGGCACAGAGCUGGGGACGAACGUCCGCUGCGUGGAGGGCAGGGGACAAGCGGAGAAACGUCUCUGGGGAGUAGCGUGAAGAAAUCACAGGGAAAGCUGCCUGGAAAUAAAAAACUAAUAAAGGAAUGCUUACAGUAAAAGUUACACUGUUUUUCCAACGGUUUUUUUUUUUAUCGUUUUAAAUCAAUUUUUAUUAAAAUGUCAGAUGAUUUUGAGCACCUCCUAGGAAAGGAAAGCAAAGCAAAGCAGAACGAAAGCCCUUUUCUAUGGGGAAAUGAAAGCAUUGUCUGGACUUCUUUUAAAAUUUCAAUAACUUCUACUUGUCUGCACUAAGUAGCCAAAUGCUCUCCCAGACGUUGCCUCAGUUUGCAGCUGGACUUCCUCCUGGGUAACCUCUGUUGUGGGAAAGCCUGUUACUGCCUGAGAGGCAGCGGGAAGGUCAGGAACGCUCCCAGGACUGCCACUCGCCAGCCACAGGGCUGCGAAGACGCAGCCGCCAGCACCGGGCAGGAAGGUUUAUCACUCUUCUUUUCCUCACUUGAGGGCAAUCAUACCCACCCGCCACCUCUUUGCAGCUGGAUUUAUCAUGGCUGAAAGCAAACUACAAACAAACACCUAUGUGCUCAAGUGUUGCCAGCAUCGUCCUUCAUCAUACACACACGAUUCUUCUGCCCCAUUUACCUGCUCUAGUCCACACGUGUCACCUACAGAAUUCAGGUGAUUCAUCAUGAAGCUUAAAGGGUCGGAAGAGGUUUCCCGGGUAAACAGGAGUCGAAAAAGACUGGGAAUGGC